AUUGAACGCUGGCGGCAGGCUUAACACAUGCAAGUCGAGCGAGCGGCGGACGGGUGAGUAAUGUCUGGGACACUGCCUGAUGGAGGGGGAUAACUACUGGACACGGUAGCUAAUACCGCCUACCACCAGAUGUGCCCAGAUGGGAUUAGCUAUUUGGUGGGGUAAUGGCUCACCUAGGCGACGAUCCCUACCUGGUCUGAGGGGAUUGCCAUCCACGCUGGAACGGAGACACUGUCCAGAUUCCUACGGGAGGCAGCAGUGGGGAAUCUUGCACAAUGGGCGCAAGCCGGAUGCAGCCAUGCCGCGUGUGUGAAGAAGGCCUUCGGUGUGUAAAGCACUUUCAGCGAGGAGGCGGUACUCGCAGAAGAAGCACCGGCUAACUCCGUGCGAGCAGCCGCGGUAAUAC
rnacentral:rRNA from 1 species